rnacentral:rRNA from 1 species
GACGAACGCUGGCGGCGUGCUUAACACAUGCAAGUCGAACGAUGAAGAAGAGAAACGCGAACUUCGGUUCAAAUUUCACUUCGGAUUAGUGGCAGACGGGUGAGUAACGCGUGAGCAACCUACCUCUUACAAAGGGAUAGCCUCGGGAAACCGUGAUUAAUACCAUAUGACACAUUCAUAAGGCAUCUUAAGAAUGUUAAAGCUACGGCGGUAAGAGAUGGGCUCGCGUCCCAUUAGCUAGUUGGUGAGGUAACGGCCCACCAAGGCGACGAUGGGUAACCGGCCUGAGAGGGUGAACGGUCACAUUGGAACUGAGACACGGUCCAAACUCCUACGGGAGGCAGCAGUGGGGAAUAUUGCACAAUGGAGGGAACUCUGAUGCAGCGACGCCGCGUGAGCGAUGAAGGAAUUCGUUUCGUAAAGCCCUGUUCUAUGGGAAGAAAAGGACUGUACCAUAGGAGAAAGCCCCGGCUAAAUACGUG